GACGAACGCGGCGGCGUGCCUAAUACAUGCAAGUAGAACGCUGAAGGGAGGAGCUUGCUCUUCUGGAUGAGUUGCGAACGGGUGAGUAACGCGUAGGUAACCUGCCUUGUAGCGGGGGAUAACUAUUGGAAACGAUAGCUAAUACCGCAUAACAAUGGAUGACCCAUGUCAUUUAUUUGAAAGGGGCAAAUGCUCCACUACAAGAUGGACCUGCGUUGUAUUAGCUAGUAGGUGAGGUAACGGCUCACCUAGGCGACGAUACAUAGCCGACCUGAGAGGGUGAUCGGCCACACUGGGACUGAGACACGGCCCAGACUCCUACGGGAGGCAGCAGUAGGGAAUCUUCGGCAAUGGGGGCAACCCUGACCGAGCAACGCCGCGUGAGUGAAGAAGGUUUUCGGAUCGUAAAGCUCUGUUGUAAGUCAAGAACGAGUGUGAGAGUGGAAAGUUCACACUGGACGGAGCUACC
rnacentral:rRNA from 1 species